AUUUAUAUAGUUUAAAUAAAACAUUACUUUUUCAAAGUAAAAAUAAUAAGUACUAUUUAUAAAUU
rnacentral:tRNA from 1 species